rnacentral:tRNA from 1 species
GAGGGUAUAACUCAGUGGUAGAGUGUAUGCUUAGCAUUCAUGAGAACUUGGGUUCAAUCCCCAGUACCUCCA